rnacentral:rRNA from 1 species
GACGAACCACACAAACGUUAUUCGGAAUUACUGGGCUUAAAGGGUGCGUAGGCGGCGCGGAAAGUAGGGUGUGAAAUCCCUCGGCUCAACCGAGGAAUUGCGCCCUAAACUACCGUGCUCGAGGGAGAUAGAGGUGAGCGGAACUUAGGGUGGAGCGGUGAAAUGCGUUGAUAUCCUAAGGAACACCGGUGGCGAAAGCGGCUACACUGGAUCUCUUCUGACGCUGAGGCACGGAAAGCUA